AUUAAUGCCUUGGAGCCUACUGUCUCCUAUUUCACAGAAGCUUUGAAUUUCAGACAAGUUUUGAAAGAAAAUGAUGUGAAAAAAGUUAUUGAAAAUCCAAACAGGAAAAGCAAUGUGCUUCUUAUGUGUGGCUCACCUUCAGAUGUUAAAAACCUGUCAAUGGAUGUGGAGUUUCCUGCAGACAUGGUUAUCAUUCUCCUUGACAUUUUUAACCCCAUUUACUAUGAAAAUAACAGCUCUCCACCAUAUAUGAGAAAUGUGUUGGUGCUAACAUUGCCUCAAUCCAAUUUUAGCGAG